CACGUAGGGGGCAAGCGUUGUCCGGAUUUAUUGGGCGUAAAGAGCUCGUAGGCGGUUCGGUAAGUCGGGUGUGAAACCUCCAGGCUCAACCUGGAGACGCCACCCGAUACUGCUGUGACUAGAGUCCGGUAGGGGAGCGUGGAAUUCCUGGUGUAGCGGUGAAAUGCGCAGAUAUCAGGAGGAACACCAGCGGCGAAGGCGGCGCUCUGGGCCUGUACUGACGCUGAGGAGCGAAAGCGUGGGGAGCGAACAGG
rnacentral:rRNA from 1 species